UGACUUGCUUGGACUAUUUCAGUCAGAAAACACUCCAGGCUGCUGAGUUGGUUUGCGUACUUCUUCCUCUGCUGUUGUUUCAGCUGCACAAGCAGCAGCCAGGGAAGAAGAAGAGGAACAGAAGAUAUUUCAGGCAGCCACCAGGACUGCAGGGAUCAAACAGGCUAAUUUGCACGUGACCUGUCUCCAUGAUGAGAUAGAUGAUCACAAAAGCUUCCAGUAAGAGUCUUCUAUGCUAGCACUGCAGCAGUAGGAGAUGAAAAACAUUAGCAACACAGAGGAAUGCUAGGCAACACCUCAGCUUUUCAGCUAAGUGCUGAAAAGUCCUAUUUCUGUAAUAUUUUAAAUAACAGUGAAACCAGUGUCUUAAUUCUGGAGCACAGUGUAAUCAGUGAGAGCAGAGAGAAUAAUUAAACCCUGUGCAGAAGAGAUUAGCUGCCUGUGAAGUAAUGACUUCGGAGCGCAAAGAUGAUGGGUAAAUGACACCAAUAAAAGUUCUCAGAAGUCCUCCGGAUUAGAAGCUGAAAGUUGGAUGCUAUUCAGAAUCAAACUGUCAUUGCCAUUGCUUCAUUUAGUCUCCUGAGAGAACACAAGAAUAUAAAUCUUGCCGAUGGAAGUACAGAAACAAGGCAGAAAAGAAUUCUAGGAAAACAGGCGAUGAGAACAAGUAGGCAUGAUACAUCAGAAAACUGCCCUAGCUGAUGGAAUUGAGCUGGUUUUGACACAGCCAGAAUCCCACGGCUUUAAUAAGGGCAAGUUACCUUAGCAGACUGCUUUGAGUUCCAGAAGACAGUAGAAUUUGGAUACCUAGAUUUUGCUGCCAUUUCAGUAAAUUGCUUUGGAAAUUUGAAAGGAGAAAAUAAGUUAUAAUUACUUUGCACUUUCAUAGAUCUGUUGCUGCGUGGGGAUAGGAUCACUGUUUCUGCAUAAAAGGAAUGUUUAUGGUUUCUGACCCUGAAGCAGCAAGGGUGACUUGAUUUUAUAAUUAAAUUUGUAUGCUUUUAUUUUCCUGCACUCUGCUGAUUUUCUGAGUACGUCACAGGGCAAAAGGGACUAAUGAUAGAUAAUUGGAAUGCAUGCCUGUGAAGACUCCCAGCACUGUCAUUUUAGCACACAAUAAAAUUUCAUAGGGCCAAUAGAAUUAAGUAGUGCUCCUUUGUACAGAUACAAAAGAAAACAAACUAAGAGAGCCUUCUAUCUAGCCAUGCUUUUUGCUGCGUAGUCCCCACCUGUAUGAGGAAAAUGAUAUUAAAUAUAUGCAAUUAACAUCCCACAUAAUGAGUAAAGAUUUCCCUCAGUGUAGUGGAGGACCCAGUGGAUACAUUCUGCUGAUGGUCCUGAACAGAAAUUUCCACACAAAGUAAAGAUUUUCAUGUUAGACACCAAAAUCUUCAAGAGCUGCAGUGAUCUACAGGAAAAACUGAAGAAAACAAGGUGCUGUUCUCUGAUGCAGAAGGUGCAGAAAGUUCAGAACUGAGACAAGUCCAUCACCAUCCGACCGGUUCAGGAUCCGCCUCAGGAUCCAUGCCUUCCCUGUGCAGUGCACACAGGGGGAUACCAAAGCAGGACUGUGGAUUUAUGGCACACAGGAAGGCAGCUGUGUGCACCUGCUGCUCCCCCAGCUUCUUAGCAGAGGGACGGUGAGUGGGAAUUGCUGCUGCUCUGAUUGCAAAGUCCCAGCCAGCCGAGCUGGCACAGAGUGGGGUGGCAAUUUAUAUCUUGCUACUAGCAGCAAAUUGCUGCCUCUCCCAAGGGCAAAGUAGGAGGCUGUUAUGCAUCCAUAAAGUAUUUUUCCAUUCCUGACCCACUCAGCUUGCACAUUAGCAUGUUGCCAUUUGCACCCAGCACCUGCAAAAAGAGCCCAAGGACUGCAACAACAGGGUUUGAUGUUCACUUGGAAAGAAAAGUUGGUUCCUCCCUUUCCCCCUCCGGUUCACAGUAGUGUUCUUGCCACAAAGACUUCUUGUACCACACUUGGUAAAAUCCAUUUUUAAGCAUGAAACAUCCAAGUCCCAGGUCAGGGACACAAACACACGAGCCCAGGCAAUGUAACAUUUUUUUACUUUUUCCUCAGCCCUUAUUCUGAGAUGAUGCUCACUUGCACCGCCUCCCGUUAACGAGGAGAUGCAGGCACGCUCAGUAGAAGGCUCCGUGCACUUCCACUUUGCUGCUGAACUCAUUCAGACUAAACGCAGCACACUGGAGCCUUACACCCGAACCUGUCGAAGUCUCUGCCAUUUAUGGCAUCUCCGUGCUGCUGGCGCCCUCCACCUCCAGCUUCUCUGCGGCAGCUCCUCUACAGGUAACGGACCCCGCUGAGGGGCAGUAGGAGCUCGGUGGGCGCCGCUGCCCCUUUAAGAGGCGGGCGAUCACGUGACCACGGCUAGCACGUGGUCUUCCCACCAACAUGGCUGCGCCCGCAGCGCUCCGCCGCUUGUUCCUGCUGUUGGGUGCGGGGCUGGCGGUGACAGCUGGCGCCGUGAAGGAGGCGGCUCCCGGCGGGAACUGCGGCUGCGGCGCUAGUCGCGGCCGUGGGGAUGAGCGAGAGGCAGCGGCGCGGCGAUACUCGGCGGCGGCCAACGGCGGCGGGAGUUCUGGGCACGGGGCGAUGGUUGCUAUUCCAGGAGGAGUGUUCACUAUGGGCACUGAUGAGCCUGAAAUACAGCAAGAUGGAGAGUGGCCUGCAAGAAGAGUCCAUGUUAACAGCUUCUAUAUGGAUCAAUAUGAGGUCAGCAAUCAGGAAUUUGAGAGAUUCGUGAAUUCUACUGGGUACUUCACUGAGGCAGAGAAGUUCGGAGAUUCCUUCGUGUUUGAGGGAAUGCUGAGUGAAGAAGUGAAGGCUGAAAUCCAUCAGGCAGUUGCAGCUGCUCCCUGGUGGUUGCCUGUGAAGGGAGCCAACUGGAGGCAACCCGAGGGUCCUGGCUCCAGCAUCCUCAGCAGGAUGGACCAUCCAGUUCUUCACGUGUCCUGGAAUGACGCUGUAGCAUUUUGCACGUGGGCAGGGAAACGAUUACCGACUGAGGCUGAAUGGGAGUACAGCUGUCGAGGGGGCCUUGAGAAAAGACUUUUCCCAUGGGGCAACAAGCUUCAGCCGAAAGGUCAGCAUUAUGCUAACAUCUGGCAGGGAGUGUUCCCAAGUAACAACACUGCAGAAGAUGGAUACAAAGGAACUGCACCGGUCACUGCAUUUCCUCCCAAUGGAUAUGGCUUGUACAACAUUGUAGGAAAUGCCUGGGAGUGGACAUCUGACUGGUGGGCUGUUCAUCAUUCAACAGACGAAGCUCACAACCCUGUAGAGAACAAACCAUCCUGGAUUAUUUUAAUGGAUUCUACUAGCUCACUUAAGCUGAGCAUGUAAUAAAGCUGAUGUUUAUGGAGAGAAUUAGUUUUCUGGGCUUUGAAGGGGUUAAUCUUUGGUUAUCUUUAUGGCAGCAAGUGGAAGAGGCCCAGCAGGGUAAGCUUUGUGUUUUGGUUUUCUUGCACCAUAUCUCUCAGCAGAUUCAAGCUCUAAUGUUACAUAUCCUCUCUCAUUUAUCUAGGAUGACUAAAUCUGAGAAGUGAACUGCUCCACUCUCACAGAACUUGUUUUGUUCAGAUACGGUUAUCUGUAAUGAGAAAACCAGUUAAGCCUCUCUGGGCAGGAGCUAUCUGUUUCCUGCAGGAUUUGAGUAUCCCCACACUGUGGUCUUGUACAUAUUGUCUUUGUCUGGUGUGCUGGGCAUAAUCACAGCCCUCUGUGGGAAGUCAGCAGCUGGAAGCAGCUUGAGGAACCUGCUAAACUUUGCUGGUCAGUACAUUGCAGAGGUUGACAUUCUGCUGUUUCAUCAGGAUGAUGUUACCAGCACCUUCUUGGGUCUAAUUGCACGAGAUCUUCUAGCAGUUUCAGUGCACUGAUGGAGACCUCUUACUGUACCAAGCACAUUGGCUGACUCCAGGUUACUUGUAUCCUGGGAAGACGCCACAAGUUUUUUUUUUUUUUGGUAGGUUAAGCUAUGGAUCAGAUGGUGCAUUUACGUACACUUCUCCAGGUGACUGAACUGCUUUGACUAUAGCUAUUUUCCUUGCUUUUUUUUUAAAUUGGACGGGCUAUUUUGUAACUUCUGUUCACAGAUAGUCUUCAAUAGCUUAGCAAUAGCUGAAAGCAAACAAAGAAACAAGAUGAAGAUGAAGCCUUGAAUAGUUAGAAGAAUGUAGAUCUGGAUGAAAGUGAAGAACAAAGCAAACUUUCUUGUGUCAGAGUAGAUGAGUAUUGAUUUGGUGCAACCUGGUAAGUCAGGGUAAGAGGAAGCAAGUAAGCAGCAUUGAGCUUUUUGUUCCAGACUGGUAACCAUGGUUUGAGCCAGGAAAGCUUCUGCUUUUCUCCUCUCAGUGUCUGGACCACAGCACAGUGAUGGGCAUGUGCUACCUCAGCAGAGCAGGAAGGACCCUGCACCCACCCCUGCUCUUUCAGAGACAAACAGCAUCUGUGUCCCUGGGAGAGAAAACACAGGUCUGGUAAUUUGCAGCGUAUUGCAGUUAUCCCUGUUCUUUUUUAUCUGUUGCUCACUUUAACAGCCACUUCAGUUUUGGCCACUUGUUUCUUCCUGCUGUACUUAUAAUGCUGGUAGUACUUCUGCCUUAAAUUAAGAUGAUGGUGGGAAUAUCUGUUAUAUCUGACUUGAGAAUUUUGCUCUCUAUUAAACUUAAGAGGAUGUGAGUUGGCCUGGAUUUUUAAAUUCAACACAAACAUUUCCCAGAUGCUUUGGAAAGGAUUUAAUUAUUGGGUGUUAAUAAUUGUUUUUAGUGUUUUCAGUUGUAAACAAGUUGUCAGGAUAUCGUGUCUGAGGCCCCCUCCAGUGCGAGUUCUGAAGAGUUCUGAUGAAAUGGAAAAGGAAACUGAAUCUCAUAAUGUAAAGACUUGUCCCAGAAUAGCCAGGCUGCAGUAUCUUCUGAGACAUUAGUGCUGUAACUAUCAGUGCCAACCUCCUAAGUCUCUCCAGAGUACAGCUCAACAUAACCCAUAUAUGGAGUAUGUUCUUUUUGCCUGAAAGAUAGAUUGAUUCAAGAGGGUCAGAGCUUAGUGAAAGUUUCUUAACACUUUUGGUACAUCUAAUGUGCUGUUUCCAGAUCAGCCCAUAUGGCUCUGAUAGGGAGCUAGGUGAUGCACAGAGCCUUUGUAGAGGAGCUGAGCUGCAUACUGGAGGAGAACACAACCACUGGCUGCUUUUCAGAGAAGAUCCGCAGUUUCUUGAUGAACUCUUCACCUUCAGUGAUGUGAGAGAAUUAUCUGCCCAGGGGAUGCUGUUUCACAGUAGCAUAGAUUACUGGAGAACACCGUAUGAGAAAGGGCCCUUGUCGGGGACUGACCGAGUGAAGAAGGGUGGAUCAUACAUGUGCCACAAGUCUUAUUGCUACAGGUAUCGUUGUGCAGCCCG